rnacentral:misc_RNA from 1 species
UCCGGAAAGGCGUUUGCGGAGU